rnacentral:rRNA from 1 species
AGGCUUAACACAUGCAAGUCGUGCGAGAAAGUAUCUUCGGAUAUGAGUAGAGCGGCGGACGGGUGAGUAACGCGUAGGAAUCUACCUAGUAGAAGGGGAUAGCCCGGGGAAACCCGGAUUAAUACCGUAUACCUCCUUCGGGAGAAAGAAGGCCUCUCUUUGAAGCUUUCGCUACUAGAUGAGCCUGCGUAAGAUUAGCUUGUUGGUGAGGUAAAGGCUCACCAAGGCGACGAUCUUUAGCUGGUCUGAGAGGACGAUCAGCCACAUUGGGACUGAGACACGGCCCAGACUCCUACGGGAGGCAGCAGUGGGGAAUAUUGGACAAUGGGCGCAAGCCUGAUCCAGCCAUACCGCGUGUGUGAAGAAGGCCUUCGGGUUGUAAAGCACUUUAAGCAGGGAGAAAAAGUUAUAAGUUAAUACCUUAUAACCCUGAUGUUACCUGCAGAAUAAGCACCGGCUAAUUCCGUGCCAGCAGCCGCGGUAAUACGGAAGGUGCAAGCGUUAAUCGGAAUUACUGGGCGUAAAGCGCGCGUAGGUGGUUUGUUAAGUUGGAUGUGAAAGCCCUGGGCUCAACCUAGGAACUGCAUCCAAAACUAACUCACUAGAGUACGAUAGAGGGAGGUAGAAUUCAUAGUGUAGCGGUGGAAUGCGUAGAUAUUAUGAAGAAUACCAGUGGCGAAGGCGGCCUCCUGGAUCUGUACUGACACUGAGGUGCGAAAGCGUGGGUAGCGAACAGGAUUAGAUACCCUGGUAGUCCACGCCGUAAACGAUGACAACUAGCUGUUGGGAGACUAUGUCUUUCAGUGGCGCAGCUAACGCUUUAAGUUGUCCGCC